rnacentral:rRNA from 1 species
UGGCUCAGGAUGAACGCUAGCGACAGGCUAACACAUGCAAGUCGAGGGGCAGCACGGGAGUAGCAAUACAACUGGUGGCGACCGGCGCACGGGUGAGUAACGCGUAUGCAACCUACCUAUCAGGAGGGGAAUAACCCGGCGAAAGUCGGACUAAUACCGCAUAAAACAGGGGCACCGCAUGGUGAUAUUUGUUAACGAGAUUCGCUGAUAGAUGGGCAUGCGUUCCAUUAGGUAGUUGGUGAGGUAACGGCUCACCAAGCCGACGAUGGAUAGGGGAACUGAGAGGUUGGUCCCCCACACUGGUACUGAGACACGGACCAGACUCCUACGGGAGGCAGCAGUGAGGAAUAUUGGUCAAUGGGGCGGGAGCCUGAACCAGCCAAGUCGCGUGAAGGAAGAAGGAUCUAUGGUUCGUAAACUUCUUUUGCAGGGGAAUAAAGUGCAGGACGUGUCCUGUUUUGUAUGUACCCUGAGAAUAAGGAUCGGCUAACUCCGUGCCAGCAGCCGC